ensembl:lncRNA
AAUUGAAUUAAUCCAGAUUCAUAGGUUUUUUUGGGUCUGAGAUCACUUCCAAAGAUUCAUUCGUUUCUGACUGAACCUGUGGAAAUUUGGGCAACACAAACCGAUACAUUUUACCACUAGCUCUACCUUUCACUUGUUCGAAGGUGGAAAAUGAGGUCAAAGGUUAACAUAAAUUUCCUGUUUUGGUUUAAGUUUUUACUAUCUAUAUGAUAAUUUACUGAUUAUCUUUUGUUUUGUAUGCUAAAUAUUAUCACAUCCACAUGUUAAAUUAAAAUUAAAUUGUAAAAAAAAAAAUCUAAUAUUUACUUGGGGGUGCUAUGGGGGUGCAAUGACUAAUCCAGGGGUAGCUAUAGCGCCCCCCUGGCGUCGCCACUGGCCUGGACCCCUAUCUCAUACCCACAUACACUCGUUAAAAACUUUAUGAAGGUAUACAAUUAUAAAUCUAAUAGAGUUUAAUUAAUGCUAUUGGGUGUGUUAGUGGGAUUUUAUAUAUGUAAUAUUCACAAAUGUAAUGUUCCUAAUCUCACAACCUCAGCCCAGAGAACAUUGUGGGAACCCCUUUGGGGAACCACGGACCCCAGGUUGGGAACCACUGUUAAAAAUAACAAAAUUACAGGCAGUGGGAAACGGCCAUGCUGAAGACAGCAUUUACAACUCAUUCCAGUACUGGAGGGUUCCCUUACCUGCGCUAGACCUUUCAUUACUAGAUGAUCUCAGUGAUUCUUCACAAACAAAGCAUGAGCCAAAAGUCACUGACUCUAAUUUGGAUGCCAUGGAGACCUGAAACUAAUGGGUACAACAGGUCUUUUAGUUAAACUCUUGUCAGGCAGGGUGAGGAAAGUGGGAUGCUUCCAGGUGUGGUGGUACACCUGAGCAUCAGAAUGGAGAUUUAGUGAGCCUCAGAGACGGGCUAUGAAACAGGCUGCUUUUAGUCCAUUUUAUAGAGGUUCAGCAAAAUUGUAGUUUAUAUACACAUGCCAGCUCACUUUAUGUAAGUAGUUAUUUAGUUUCUGCAUUUGUAAGAGUUAUUGACAGCAUCUCAGUUGUAGAUGAUGGUUUUAGGAUGAAAAUAUACUAAAUAAAAAUGUUACACUCUGUUGUAUUUGCACUGCUGUUUUAAUGGAAAUAAAGUACAUUUCAUUACUGAUUUAAUUGUUUGAAUGCUGUAAAGCAUUCAAACUAUAGUGAUCCUGUUUCUCUUUAUAGUUAGUUUAUUAUUCUGCUUCCGUACAUUUUUUGGCAUUUAACUACUUCCACAAUUCUCAACUAUUUACACAAUUUUGGUAUCAAAACGUUCAGCUUGUUCAGCUUAUGCCGUCAAUGACUUUUGGUAUUAAAAUAUUUUAUACUUUUUGAGAUAUUCAGCUUUUUCUGCGAUUUUUGGUCCCAUUGAAAUGAAUGGGAUUGCUCAAUUUUCAGCUAAAUACUAUCACUUUUUUGAACUCUUAUAGGUUAACUUUAACCUAGAGACUUCAUUCAUGUUUCAACGAACUCGCAAGACUUUCAGCUAUUACUGGUUAGAAAAUCUUUUUGAUAUCUAUUACAGUUUUUCUAAAAUCACAGGUAGAAGUUGAAGUACGGCUUGAGAUUUUCAGAAAAAAAUCACAAAAAUUAUAAUGGGCAGAGAUAGGAGCAAUGACCCUCCUUUGCUCCAUUUCUGGCAUUGUCCUGAGAAAACCUUAAGUCCGAUUGAAAUGAGACACAUGCCAGCUUGCAGCUAACGGACAUACCUUCGUUUUGAGCUAUAAAUCAUGAAUGUACUCCAAACAUUGUGGUCGUUUUGUUCAUUUCUUUGAGAAUAUUCAAAAUUAAAAAAAUGUCUCUCACCACUCUAAACUGAAAAUUCCACACUCUAACUUUUGACCUUCACAUUUUCUGGAAACAACUCUUUGCGACACCCAGACCGUUUGGAGUAUCGAAACAAAUUAUAUCUCAAAAAGUAGGAUUUUUUGUCAGCUUCAAAGUGCUGUCUUCAGUUUUGCUGUUGGUAUUACAUCUUUUACCAUACCAUACCAAUUUUAUUUAUAUAGCACAUUUAAACACGGCAUGAGAGCCGACCAAAGUGCUGAACAAAACACACAAUAAAAACAAUCAAAAAUAAAAACUAAAUCCAUUAAAAUCAAGUAAUCCAACCCUAAAAGGAAAGGUAGAAAGGGAAUAAGUUAGACAGAAUUAAAAGCCAGAGAAUAAAAGUGAGUUUUUAAACGAGACUUAAAAAGGGAAAGAGAGGAAGAGAGUCUGAUCGGGAGGGGCAAGUGGUUCCAGAGCUUCGGUGCACAAACUGAAAAGGCGCGCUCCCCGCGGGACUUACAGCGAGAGCUAGGGACAUGUAGGAGGUGUUGGUCAGCUGAUCGGAGGGAUCUUGUAGGGACAUAUGGGUGAAUGAGCUCAGACAAGUAGCCAGGUGCUAAGUUAUUUAGGGAUUUAAACACAAAAACCAGGAUCUUAAACUCUAUCCGGAGAUGGAUGGGGAGCCAAUGAAGAUUUGCUAAAACCGGUGUGAUGUGUUCCCGCUGCCUGGUGCCAGUCAAGAAGCGAGCUGCUGCGUUCUGCACUAGCUGAAGUCGAGCGAGAGUGGAGGAGGAGAUACCGUAUAGCACUGAGUUAGAGUAGUCGAGACGGGAAGUAAUAAAUGCAUGGACAACUGAAUGAAGAUGACGCCUUUUUAAAAUGGGCUUAACUUUAGAGAGACGCCUCAGGUGGUAAUAACAGGUCUUAACUACCUGGUUGACAUGAAUGUCCAUUUUUAGUUUAGCGUCCAUCACAACCCCUAAGUUUGUGACACGGUUUUUCAACCCACUUGUGAUAAAUGGAAGGGUCAGUUGGGGACUUUGAGAAGUACCAGGGCUGAAAAUGAUGGCCUCUGUCUUAGCGUCGUUCAGCAAAAGAAAGUUUUCUGACAGCCAGCUCUUCACAUCAUUACAGCAUUCAACAAGGGGCAGUAAGGAGUCAUUAGGCUUCACAGAGGCAUAUAAUUGGCAAUCGUCUGCAUAAAAAUGGUAAUCAAUGUGGUGUUUUUUAAAAAUGUCACCCAGGGGCAAAAUAUAUAAAUUAAAUAAAAGGGGUCCAAGAAUAGAGCCCUGAGGAACACCACAAGUCAAAGCCGCAGAGGGGGAGGCAGCACUACCCAUCAUAACAUUAAAGCUGCGGUCACAGAAGUAGGACCUAAACCAGUCUAAGGCAGUCCCCUGGAUGCCGACCAGCUGGUUCAGCC